UUCCUUUACUACUUGGAUUACCGUGGUAAUUCUAGAGAUAAUACAUGCUAAAAAUCCCGACUGUUUGGAAGGGAUGUAUUUAUUAGUUAAAAAAUCAAUGCUUUUCGGAGCUCUUUGAUGAUUCAUAAUAACUUUUCGAAUCGCAUGGCCUUGUGCUGGCGAUGGUUCAUUCAAAUUUCUGCCCUAUCAACUUUCGAUGGUAGGAUAGUGGCCUACCAUGGUUUCAACGGGUAACGGGGAAUAAGGGUUCGAUUCCGGAGAGGGAGCCUGAGAAACGGCUACCACAUCCAAGGAAGGCAGCAGGCGCGCAAAUUACCCAUUCCCGACACGGGGAGGGGGAGUGUACCCAAAAUAAAA
rnacentral:rRNA from 1 species